GCCUCGCUGGUGUAGUCCGGCCAAUCAUGCGGCCCUUUCGAGGCCGCGACCUGGGUUCAAAUCCCAGGCGAGGCA
rnacentral:tRNA from 1 species